rnacentral:tRNA from 1 species
GGCCGACUAGCUCAAUUUGGCAGAGCAAUUGACUCUUAAUCAGCAGGUUCCGGGUUCGAGUCCCGGGUCGGUCACCA